rnacentral:sRNA from 1 species
UACCAUUUAUAUUCGCAUAUCAAAGAAAACAAAAAGUGAUUGGGGUUCGUUUUCCAACAGAAAAACUUACACAAUCCUUUCGCUUAAAAAGCCGCCAUAUUCAUCUUCUAAAUCUUGUGGAGUGUCCCAGUGAAAAACAGUAACGAAUGGAGUUAUACCUAAUUACAGAAAAAAAUAAAAAAUUAGAGAAGUUUAAUACGUAAGAGAUUAUAA